AGUGAUGACUUCCAAACCCUUACAUGCCAGACCAGAAAGCAGACAUCCCUAUUAUUUUUUCAUACUAUCCUCACCACAGUCCUCUGAAGUCAAUGUUGUGAGCUCAGAUUCAAAAAUAAGGAAACAAUCUGAGAAAGACAAUUGCUGGGGGCUACCAUAUGCCAAGUACUGUGCACAGCACUGAUAAUCUAAGGAUGAAUGACAUGAUUCCUACAUUUGAGAAAUUCAAAGUCUGAUGAGAAAGCCAGACUGAAAACCAACAACAAGAAUAUGUGGCCAUACUGUCACCAAAUCCAGGUCCAGAAGCUCAUUCCAUGGAAAAACCAAUGUCUAAGACAAGAGUGUUGGAGAGAAGGAAAGACUUUAUUCAGUGGCCAAAAAUGGAAGAAAGGGACUUUGCUCACGAAUCUUCUCAACUCCACGGUGUUGAGGGUUAUAGAUAUAGGGUAGGGAUUAUGGGGGGAAAAAGAUAAGCUAAUCAAGGAGAGGAAUAUUCAUGCCUUUUUGGAGGGUGGGGUAGGCUGAGAUCUUCCAAGAACUCAGGUGCCACCUUUUAUUCCUUCUUUCAUGGUCUGGUACUCCCAGUCAUGAUAGCUGGUCCAGGGGUCUUUAGCUUUGAAGGAGGAAGAGAGAGACUGGACAAAUCUAAGUAAGGUCAGCCCUGUAUUAUAGUUUCAGACAAAGCAUUUCUCAAAUGAUCAACAUGUCUACAUGCAGAGCUGAGUAGAAUCUGACAGCAAAGGAGACAGACACAAUAGGAAGACUGAGACGCCAAGCCCUAACAUCCUUGUGUAGUCACCCAUGGGACAGUCAUGCUAGCCUAAGUGAAGACUCAGGGUUUUCAGCAAACAUUCCUGGGAAGUAACCUGGGCAACCAUUACCAUCAUCACCCACAUGACAGAGGUAUUAACUACGGCAAAGCUAAGGGGAGACUGAUAAUGUAUUGUCCAGCUAUAAGACCUUUCCUAUUAGUGAUUUUUUUUUACAUCAACUAAGAGCAAGAGUGUUUAUUUAGGUUUUCCCUCAGUAAUAAUACUUCAAUAGAAACAUAAAUAAAAGGCCUCGAGAGCGGCUACUGAAGGAGUUUGUAGUAGUUUCCUACUGACACUGCAACAAAUUAUCACAAAUGCAGUAGUUUAAAAAAACACACAUUUAUUUUCUUACAGUUCCAUAAGCCAGAAGUCUGACCAUUUCACUGGGUUAAAGUCAAGGCAAUGGCAGAGCUGGUUCUCUCUAGAGGCUCUAGCAAGGAAGUUGCUUCCUUUUCUAAUCUCUGGAGACCACCUAUAUUCUUUGGCUUGUGACCCCUUCCCUGUAUCUGUUCAGCCUUUUGCAUAGUCAACACAUGGAACAUUUUCAUAGUCCAAUCUUCCUGUCUCCCUCUUAUUUUUAUGAUUAUAUAAGGCCAGGCUAACCUAGCAUAAUCUUCCCAUCUCAAGAUCCUUAACUCAAUCACAUGUCUGCAAAGUCCCUUUGUGCAGGAUAAAAAAGUAAGGUAAAACUUGCAGGCUCCAUGAAAUUUUUGCAGGCCAUUUUUCAGGCUACCACAGUUAUACAAUAAGUAAAGGCAUUUGGGCUGGGGUCUGGAGGGGUGAGAAGGGAUUAUUCUGGCAAUUUUCUAUACUGGAAGGACAUGGUGUUCAAUGCCCUCACCUGUUCAAGGACCAGUAAGGUGUUCAAAGUAGCUCCAUAGUGGAUAAAGACAGAAGCCAAAGCUGGUAAGGAAAGUGAGGUCAGACCACAGUGUCUUCAAUAGUAGUCCAGGAAGUUUGAAUCUGGCUUUAUUAACAGAACAGUUACACAACAAUAAAGUGCGAUGUUGAUAAAGCCCAGUGGAGAAAUGAUGAUGGAAGGUUUUAUGAAAGCAGAAACACUGGCAUUCAUCAACCACAAAUUGUAGAGCUCAUCCUGUUAAGGGAUAUCAACCAUGUUGUGAGUUCCUAAUCCCUGGCCCUCUUUUUAUGUUCCAGUCCUAGUUUAGGAGCCCUUCUCAUCUGUAUAGUGAACAAAGGCUCCUAAAGCCUUCAGUUUUGCCACUCUCCAGUGAAUCCCUUACACUGCAGUCGGAGUAACUUUCUAAACACAGGCUGUCCACACCAUUGCCUGUCUAGUUAUGAGUGACUCCUUUAGGAUACACACAGGAGCCUCCAUGUCCUGGCCCAUUCUCCUCUUUGGUCACACUACUGAGCUUCCCUUGGUCACUGUUGCAAAGUAAGUCACAUUGUACCUUAGCCAAUGGCUAUACCAGAAACACACCCUUCUUGGGAGACUUUAAAACUUCUUGGGAGCCUGGGUCACCAUUCCCAACACAUUCUGCUUAUGCGUGCUUCUGGGUCCCUUGGUAUCCUUGCUUGACCAGAACCCCCCUAUUAUACCCUAGUAGAGCAAUUUUGAGUCUCAGGGUGAAUAGUGGUAUCCUGGAUAUCCCUUAAGCUUUACCUUUCCAACUUCUGCCCCCGCUACCCCUCAAGUCCAGGCCAGUGCCCUAUAUAAAAUCCUCUCCUCAUGCAUGUGGUGAAAUCUGUGAAUCUGAUGCCAUGUCCCUUCCAUAACCAGGUUACUAAUCCUUUGAUUGAGUUAAUCAGAAGGGAGCUUUUCCUGGAUGGACCUGUCCUCAUCAGUGGAGACUUUAAAAGAAGUCAGAUAGAUAGCUCCUGCUGGCCUAAAGGAGAAAGAAGGGACUCAAGGUGGGAGAGACUGAGCAUAGAGGAGGGGCAAGGUGACCAAGAGUAGCAGGUGACUUCUACAAGCACAGAGAAGCCCAUGGAAGCCACUCAGCAAGAGAAUGGAGAAGGCAUCAAUCCUACUCACUCACUCAUGUCUGGACUUCUAACUCACAAAAACCAUGAGAUAAUCAAUGGGUGAUGUUUUAAGCUGCUGAAUUUUGGGUAUUUUGUUCUGUAACAACAGAAAACUAUUCUAAGUACGGACUAAAGUUCCUUCCUCCCAAGCUAACCUGAGGAUCUUCACAGAAAUCUACCCCCACUCCAGAGCUUUGCAUACCACAAGGAUCUGGGAGAGACAUCAAGUCCCAAAAUGAUUUCCAUGUUUUUCUGCUGAAUGUCUUUUAGUUUUAGAGUUAUAUAAGCAAGAGGGAUCAUUCUAGAAGAGAUUUUUCUUUAAUAAGUUUCUUUGUCAAAAGAACUUGCUGACUUCACCCACGUGGAGAAGAAAUGCUGAGUUGCUGGCUUUUAAACAAACAAACAAACAAACUAAGUUCUGCCUCACACGGCUAGGAGUGAGAGAAUUCUUACUGGAUAAUAGAAAUUUCUUCAUUGAACUAGCAAAGAAACAGCUGCUGUUCCCAUCCACCACCCGCCCCUCUCUCAGAGGAUACUUGUUGUCACAUGCUGGUAUUCUCAUGCCACGGAGUAAAUUUCAGGAGAACUGGGCAGAAGAGAGGACCAAGUGCUAGGUGUGGCAAUGUGGCAAAUUUCAGGCCACUGAACUAAGAGUAGAAAUGAUACAGGCAAAAUCAUGAAUCAUCCAGGAGUCCACAUGUUCUAGAUGACCAUCUUCUUCCCCUUCCUGGAAUACAGACCUUGCUGCAUCCCAGCUUCUACCAUAUAGAUGAAGACAAGGCAGAGGCAGGUAGGUGCUUUAGGGAAGGUGCCAGUUGUUAAGGGACAAAUAGUAAAUAUUUUAUGCCUGUGGUUCAUAUGAUCUCUGAAGAAAUUUUUCACCUCUACUGUUGUAGCAUGAAAGCAGCCAUGACAACAUGUAAAUAAAUGAGCCUGACUAUGCUAACAUAUUAUUACAGAGACAGGCAGUCCUUUCAUGGGGGUAAAGCUUACUGAUCCCUAGGGCAAAGCCACAGGACAUCAGGAGCUGGGUCCCUAAAUAGUCACUUGGAGUGGAACCAUUGAAUUAUCCUAGAUGGCUACCUGCAGAUUAAGUCGUGAGGAAGAAACAAACUUCUUUUAAAAGUCAGUUUACUUUAGGGAUUCUUUGUUGUGGCAGCCUGGCCUCUGCCUAUUUAAUAGAGAAACUGGCACUCACUGGGUACAUAGUGUGUUCCCUGUGUAAAGAUGAUUCAAAGAUAAAUGGCAUAGGCUUCUUGCCAGACAGAGCUUUCAGUGUGGUUGAGAGGGGCAUCCCAGCACAGUAGAGUGGGGCUGUAACCGAGCUAUAAGAAAGUGCUCAGGAAAUAGGGAUGCGACUGGGAAGAAGGGAAAAAUCACUUAGUGCCUAAUAUGCGACAAGGAUUUUAUUGUUAUAUCUCUGAGCUCUGAGAAGUCUAUGAAAUAUGUUAUUAUACUUGCAUUUUAGAAAUGAAAAAAAAAGUCUCCAGUCUAUGAAAAACUGUUUAACUUACCCAGUUGCAUAGAUAUAUUUGAAGCCUUGAAAAGUAUCCACUCCAAUGAUGGGUUUAUUCAUUGUUGCCCUGCAGAGCCUGACCUAGGAUAGAGAACAUCAUCAGAAUUGUUAACUAAGAAUUAUUAAGCAGCUUCUAUCUGGCCAGACCCAAAACUGGGAGCUGGAAAGCUAGAGGAACGAAGGAAAGAAUCUGAUCUUUAAAACAGCAAAGCUUUGACAAGCUGUCACCCUAUCGUUUUGCAUUUUGGAGUGGCUAAUCUAAAGGACCACUCUGCUCUUGGAUAUUCUGAGAUGAGCCCAGUGUCCAUCCUUCCUCAUGACUCCUGGAAGAUUUGUGAUGACUGUCUUAUUUACCAGCCACUACACAAUUUCAGGUCCCUUUCCUUUUCCUUGAGAUAUGACUCAUGAAUGAGUGUUCUCCCUGGCGGAACAGCCUUUGUUGUCUGGUAGCUUUUGUCUUUCACAGUUUUGUUACUGACUCAGUAGACUCGGACCUCAUCUCUGAGGCCUCAUACUGACUGCCAGGCUUGAGUCCUUUGUGUGCCCUUCCUGACUUCAGUGUUGGGCCCAACUCCCAGUCCUGUGCUCUGGACUCCAAGGAUCUGAGCUUGAAGAUAAUUUCUAAGAUCUUUAGAUGAUUUAAACCUUAGACUUCUACUAAAUUCAGUGAAUUCAUGGACAUUUAUCAUUUACAAGUAAGAAUCAUGGAGACCUACAACCUGGCUGUUCAGAUCCCUGUUAUGACUCUCGGUUACUUGCAGCUCGUCCAGUUCCCUGCAAUUUGAAGAAGCCUUGCAAGCCAAAGCCUGACAACUUGCUAUAAACCUGUAAGGGCUCUCUACUUCAGCAGACCACACAUGGGCCCCAACUCUCCUGACACAAGUUGGCCAAAGGAAAGCCAGUGAAAUGUCCAGGUCAUACCUGAGGUAACCAGAGAAGAGACAACACUGCCAUAGCAUUUGAGCAGGAGACCUUCAAGAAAUCCAAAGAAGCCAAGAAUGGUGAUACAUGUUUGUAAUCCCAGCACUCUGGGAGGCUGAGGCAGGAAGACUGUAAGCUUUACUCCAGCCUGGGCAAUUUAGCAACUUAGCAACAUCCUGUCUCAAAAUAAGCAAGCAAGGAAGAAAGAAAGAAAGAAAGAAAGAAAGAAAGAAAGAAAGAAAGAAAGAAAGAAAGAAAGAAAGAAAGAAAAGAACAACAAAAAAGAAACCCAAAGAGCAAUGCUUAAUCAAAAGAGUUGCCUUUACCAACCUCUUAGAAUUCACUGGACUGGAUUCAUAGCUUUGUACUUAAAUCCAACUGUUCAUAUUAAUCCUUUUCUUUUUCAUUUUUAGGCACCCCUCUUUCAAGAUGUCUGCCCUCCAGAAUGCUGAAACAAGUGAUCUUUCCUAUGACCUCUCAAUAGAUGUUGCAACACAUUUUAGAGAAACAACAGACAAGGGUCUCAAGUAACUGUGUCUUGGGUCCUGCUCCACCUCUGGAGAUUUAUGAGCGCUCCAGAGUUUUUCAGCAGUGAAGGAAAUAGAGACCGACAAUGUGGAACCUUUUGUUUCUGAGUAUGUGCUCCCUGGCAGUUGCAACACUCUUGGUUUAGGGGAUCCCUGGCCAACCAGCUGGUAGUGACCGAUGGCUGCUAAACACACCUCAAGACUGAAGGAAAGGAGAAGCUGGAGACAACGAACAUUACAUAGAUGUUCACAAGCAAGAGAACAAAGUCACUACUUGAUCAUUCAACUGGAAACUCAAAUUGCCACGAAGGAGCCUGAAAUCAAUAUGCCUUGGGCCCAUGAAAGGCAUAGUGCAGGCCUGACUAGUGGGUCUGUUGGUAAGAACAGAAGUGUUCUCUUCUCAAGACAGCGGUGGGUCCCUGAAGCCAUGGAUAAUAACAGACCCUAUACAUAAAGCCAGAAAAGCCCAAGGUCAAAUUUUCAGCCUCUGGACUGGGGACACCUGCCAUUUGCGAGCAGCAUCCUGCCCUUGUGGACCUCAGAAAGGUUUCCCUGCUGGCUCCAGAUGUGGGCUCUUGACACCUGUCUGACUCUGAUGCAUUUGGAAACAGCACUUUCUGGUGGCAGUGACCACUAGCAACCCUGAUUUAGACAUGGUAAAAAGAGCACAAUGAUGACGAACCUGACUAUUUUUCAAAGCACAAGUCCAGACAGUCUGAAAUAAGAUUUCCUCCCCUAUUUGUAUGUAUUUAAAUUUUAAAUAUUUACAUUUGUAUACAUUUUAAUAUUUUGUAUACUGCCAACUUUAAAAAUCAUUUAGUCAUAUAAUUAAGUGAUGACCUUUAUAAUAGUAAAAUAUUGUGAAAGUAAAUACUCACACUGGCAAUUAGAACCUAUUAUUAAUUAGAUGUUUGAAUCCUGAUUACCCAAGUGGCUGACAAGGUGCAGAUCCAGAGCCACAGUGGGUGUCAGAUUUCUUUCUACGUGAGGGCAUUUUCUGAGUCAUUUAGGCAAGAACGCCAGAUUUGUUACAGAAAGAUUUGUUUCCCUCCCCUAUAUUUCAUGAGGAGCACAUUUAACAAUAAUGACCAUUUGGGGCUACUAUUCUGUGCCACACACUUUUCAUAUAUUCCCAUCUGAACAUCACAAAAUACUGCAAAGUAGACAGUAAAAUUCUCAUUUUAUAGACAAGAAGAUUUGAGUACCUUGCCGUGACUUAGAACCAGAAGUGUUGCCUCAAAUUCUAACUCUGCUCAGACUGACUAGAAGCAGGUUUGUGUCUCAGAUGUAGCUACAAAUCACUAGAACAUUCUGAACAGACAUUCUGAAUUCAGAAUGGAAGUGAGUUGUCCAGGUAGAAGAGGCUGGGGUCUUGACAGGUGGCUCCCACACUGGCCGGUCACUGAGGGGGUUUCUCAAAGCCCUGUCCUUCACAGAUGGCUCCCUUGGGCCCUAUCCAUCUUUCCUGCAGGCCAAAUCCAUCCCAGCCCACAAAGUUGGCUCAUGCUUGUCUCAAAUGCCAUUUCCAGGCCUCCUUUAGCCUCUGACUUCACCUUAACCUCCCUCUCUUCCCAGACAGUCUUCCAUGAGGACUCCAGUUCGUGCUGGCUUUUCCCUUCUCCAAAUCCCCUGUGGAAGUGUGGAAGACUUUAUGCUUUGCAUUAUGCAUGGAGGAAAAUCAAAUUCACCAUCUCUCCAGUUUUAGUUCUCAGACUUAGAGAUCCAAGCACAUAGUGAAGACAGGAAUAAACUCUUCAUGUGCACCAUGCUCUUGUUUUUGACACCUGGUCUGAAAUCCGAUUCCCAGCAGCAGGAGUUGAUGGAUAUUUAUCAGCUGUUGUCUCAGAACACUGAGAAACAACAAUGGCUCUCAGAGAUUGCUAGUUCCCUCUUUUUAUCUCUGGGCUUCGAGGGUGUACAGGAGCUCUUUUUGAAACUAUGCUGCAGCCUGGCCAAGGAAGGGUGUGCAUUUAGCAUAGGCCUGCUGGUGUCAGACCUUCUAGAUACUCUUCCAGCAGAGCCUAAAUCUGUGGACACCUGUCAGCCAUUGAAUAUUGUCUUAGUUACUCUUCUCAUUGCUGAGACAAAAUACCCGACACCCAAAGUUAUAGGAGGGAAGGUUUAAUUAGUUCACAGUUUGUAGCGGUUUUAGUCCAUGAUCAGUUGGCUCCAUGGCAGAGUGGCAACAGUUCAUGGUGGC